CAUGGACUAAAAUAAAUAACAGCGCCAAGCACAUGAUCUCAUUCAAAAGAUCAACAAAGAAGCUGUCAACCAAAUGCCAAUGUGUGCUCAUCUCCCAAGCUUAAAUUAUGCAAAAUGAUGAACAAAUUGCAUUACUGGCAAUAAAACAAAUGAAGCAGUUGCUUCAGCAAAAACAUUGAUCAAUCAAAAUAACAAGUUUCCUCAAGUAAAAGGUACUGAUUGGCCUAUUGUGCAUUUUCAGUAUUUUCGUGGAUCAGAUUUAACAGUGUUUGUGGGGCUUUUUUUCCCUUUUAAUUCUGCUUACCCUCUUCCACCAACUCACUCGUAAGCAGCCUGCCUUGUGCUGCUCCCCAAUAUCUGCCAGCCUGUCUGGAGCACCUGACCACAUCCAGUUAACAAGUGAUUCAGAAUGGAGACUGCUACUGAAUAACGAGCAUGGACUAAAAUAAAUAACAGCGCCAAGCACACGAUCUCAUUCAAAAGGUGAUUGACACUUUAUGAAAAUACGAAUCUGGCACACCAGGUCACCCACCCUUUGCAGAACCCACUUGAUUUUAGAUCAAUGGUACCAUUUUCGUGUGGGCUUCAUAUUGAGUGGGCAAAAUACGCUGACAGGUUGCUGUCCAGGAGGAGCUGUAGAUUACACCCAUGGCAGCAGAACAAGACAGAAAUUACUUAUGAAGAUCCAUCAUGUUCUAAAGGUUGCCCAUCUAUUUAAUACUUGCAUGGGUAUUUUCAAAUGGUGUCACGAAUUGCUUUAAUUUCACUGCCAAUGUGAUGCUAGGCAUGUAGGCCAUACAUCUCAAAGACUGGCAGAUCAUAUCAAACAGCAUGUCCCAGCCAUUGUU